AGUCCAUGAUGAGGGCAUAGUCUAAGCAUGUCCUUGUAUCGUUCCCAAGCUUCGAAGAGUGAUUCGUUAUCUUUUUGGGUAAAUCCGUUGAUUUGACCUCUUCAAGGAU